rnacentral:rRNA from 1 species
GGGUCAUUAGGUUGGUCGUGCCACCGGUACGUACUGGUCUCACUGAUUCCUCCUUCCUGAAGAACCGUAAUGCCAUUAAUUUGGUGUUGCGGGGAAACAGGACUGUUACUUUGAAAAAAUUAGAGUGUUUAAAGCAAGCUAACGCUUGAAUACAUUAGCGUGGAAUAAUGAAAUAGGACGAUCGAUCCUAUUUUGUUGGUUUCUAGGAUUGACGUA